rnacentral:rRNA from 1 species
CCUACGGGAGGCAGCAGUGAGGAAUAUUGGUCAAUGGGCGAGAGCCUGAACCAGCCAAGUCGCGUGAGGGAGUACUGCCCUAUGGGUUGUAAACCUCUUUUGUCGGGGAGCACAAGCCGGACGUGUCCGGCUGUGAGAGUACCCGAAGAAAAAGCAUCGGCUAACUCCGUGCCAGCAGCCGCGGUAAUACGGAGGAUGCGAGCGUUAGCCGGAUUUAUUGGGUUUAAGGGGUGCGCAGGCGGAUUUUUAAGUCAGCGGUAAAAUCGUGGGGCUCAACCCCAUCCAGCCGUGGAAACUGGGGAUCUAGAGUGUGCGAGAGGUAUGCGGAAUGCGUGGUGUAGCGGUGAAAUGCAUAGAUAUCACGCAGAACCCCGAUUGCGAAGGCAGCAUACCGGUGCACAACUGACGCUCAGGCACGAAAGCGUGGGUAUCGAACAGGAUUAGAUACCCCAGUAGUC